rnacentral:rRNA from 1 species
UUCGGGGGACGAGGGUGACAGGUGGUGCAUGGUUGUCGUCAGCUCGUGUCGUGAGAUGUUGGGUUAAGUCCCGCAACGAGCGCAACCCUCGCCUCUAGUUGCCAGCAUUCGGUUGGGCACUCUAGAGGGACUGCCGGCGACAAGUCGGAGGAAGGCGGGGAUGACGUCAAAUCAUCAUGCCCCUUAUGACCUGGGCUACACACGUGCUACAAUGGGCGGUACAAAGGGCUGCGAACCCGCGAGGGGGGAGCGAAUCCCAAAAAGCCGCUCUCAGUUCGGAUUGCAGGCUGCAACUCGCCUGCAUGAAGCCGGAAUCGCUAGUAAUCGCGGAUCAGCAUGCCGCGGUGAAUACGUUCCCGGGCCUU